AUUGAAACACCAGUUUCUGUACAAUCAUCAAAGUUGAGCAACAUCGAGCCUGGUCAGUACCUAGAUGGGUGACCACUUGGAAAUACCAGGUGCUGUAAG